GAUGAAGUGUCGUAAGGGCAUUUGGUGGAUGCCUUGGCAUGCACAGGCGAAGAAGGACGUGAUACGCUGCGAAAAGCCGUGGGGAGCUGCGAAUAAGCUUUGAUCCAUGGAUCUCCGAAUGGGGCAACCCACCUUAAAUGCUUGGAAAAUUUAAGUCGUGCUGGCCGCCCCCCCCCUGCCCCCAACGUUUGGCGCGCCGUCCGCAGCGCAGCGACCGCAAGGUCGCGUACGGCUUGCACCUCCCCCUUGCGGCGUCCCCAACAGGUUUCCCAAGCAUUGUGAUAAGGUAUCUUGUCUUCGAAUACAUAGGGACAAGAAGCGAACUCGGGGAACUGAAACAUCUAAGUACCCGAAGGAAAGGACAUCAACCGAGACUCCGCAAGUAGUGGCGAGCGAACGCGGACCAGGCCAGUGGCAAUGAGGAAUAAAGCUGAACAGGAUGGAAAGCCUGGCAAGAAUGGGUGAUAGCCCCGUAAGCGUAGAACACUCAUUGUCCUUGAGUAGGGCGGGACACGUGAAAUCCUGUCUGAACAUGGGGAGACCACUCUCCAAGCCUAAGUACUCGUGCAUGACCGAUAGCGAACAAGUACCGUGAGGGAAAGGUGAAAAGCACCCCGACAAGGGGAGUGAAAUAGAACCUGAAACCGGAUGCCUACAAGCAGUCGGAGGGCGCAAGCCUGACGGCGUACCUUUUGUAUAAUGGGUCAACGACUUAGUGUAACUAGCAAGCUUAAGCCGGUAGGUGUAGGCGCAGCGAAAGCGAGUCUGAACAGGGCGUUCAGUUAGUUGCAUUAGACCCGAAACCGAGUGAUCUAGCCAUGAGCAGGCUGAAGGUUGGGUAACACCAACUGGAGGGCCGAACCCGCAUCUGUUGCAAUAGAUUGGGAUGACUUGUGGCUAGGGGUGAAAGGCCAAUCAAACUCGGAGAUAGCUGGUUCUCCGCGAAAUCUAUUUAGGUAGAGCGUCGAUCGAAUACCCCGGGGGGUAGAGCACUGGAUGGGCUAUGGGGACUCACCGUCUUACUGAUCCUAACCAAACUCCGAAUACCCGGGAGUACUAAUCGGCAGACACACGGCGGGUGCUAACGUCCGUCGUGAAGAGGGCAACAACCCUGACCUCCAGCUAAGGUCCCCAAGUCAUGGCUAAGUGGGAAAGGAUGUGAGGAUCCCAAAACAACCAGGAUGUUGGCUUAGAAGCAGCCAUCAUUUAAAGAAAGCGUAACAGCUCACUGGUCUAAAUAAGGGUCUUUGCGCCGAAAAUGUAACGGGGCUAAAGCCAUGCACCGAAGCUGAGGAUGUACACGCAAGUGUACGUGGUAGCGGAGCGUUCCGUAAGUCUGUGAAGGGGUAUCCGUGAGGGCCCUGGAGAUAUCGGAAGUGCGAAUGUUGACAUGAGUAACGACAAAGGGGGUGAGAGACCCCCUCGCCGAAAGACCAAGGGUUCCUGCUUAAAGUUAAUCUGAGCAGGGUUAGCCGGCCCCUAAGGCGAGGCAGAAAUGCGUAGUCGAUGGGAACCACGUUAAUAUUCGUGGGCCUGGUGGUAGUGACGGAUCACGUAGCUUGUAUCUUCUUAUUGGAUUGAAGGUGCAGGGAAGUGGUUCCAGGAAAUAGCUCCACCGUAUAGACCGUACCCGAAACCGACACAGGUGGUCAGGUAGAGUAUACCAAGGCGCUUGAGAGAACUAUGUUGAAGGAACUCGGCAAAUUGCACGCGUAACUUCGGAAGAAGCGUGACCCUCCUUGCGCAAGUAGAUGAGGGUGGCACAGACCAGGGGGUAGCGACUGUUUAUCAAAAACACAGGGCUCUGCGAAGUCGAAAGACGACGUAUAGGGUCUGACGCCUGCCCGGUGCUGGAAGGUUAAAGGGAGAGGUGCAAGCUUUGAACUGAAGCCCCAGUAAACGGCGGCCGUAACUAUAACGGUCCUAAGGUAGCGAAAUUCCUUGUCGGGUAAGUUCCGACCUGCACGAAUGGCGUAACGACUUCCCCGCUGUCUCCAACAUAGACUCAGUGAAAUUGAAUUCCCCGUGAAGAUGCGGGGUUCCUGCGGUUAGACGGAAAGACCCCGUGCACCUUUACUAUAGCUUUACACUGGCAUUCGUGUCGGCAUGUGUAGGAUAGGUGGUAGGCUUUUGAAGCGGGGACGCCAGUCUUCGUGGAGCCAUCCUUGAAAUACCACCCUUAUCGUCAUGGAUGUCUAACCGCGGUCCGUCAUCCGGAUCCGGGACAGUGUAUGGUGGGUAGUUUGACUGGGGCGGUCGCCUCCGAAAGAGUAACGGAGGCGCGCGAUGCAGGGCUCAGACCGGUCGGAAAUCGGUCGUCGAGUGCAAUGGCAUAAGCCCGCCUGACUGCGAGACUGACAAGUCGAGCAGAGACGAAAGUCGGUCAUAGUGAUCCGGUGGUCCCGCGUGGAAGGGCCAUCGCUCAACGGAUAAAAGGUACGCCGGGGAUAACAGGCUGAUGACCCCCAAGAGUCCAUAUCGACGGGGUUGUUUGGCACCUCGAUGUCGGCUCAUCGCAUCCUGGGGCUGGAGCAGGUCCCAAGGGUUUGGCUGUUCGCCAAUUAAAGCGGUACGUGAGCUGGGUUCAGAACGUCGUGAGACAGUUCGGUCCCUAUCUGCCGUGGGUGUAGGAAUAUUUGAUGGAUCUGUCCCAGUACGAGAGGACCGGGAUGGACACAUCUCUGGUGGACCUGUUGUCGUGCCAUCGGCAUAGCAGGGUAGCUAUAUAUGGAAGGGAUAACAGCUGAAGGCAUCUAAGCGGGAAACCCACCUGAAACGAGUAUUCCCCCUUAUCAGGGCCGUGGUAGACGACCACGUUGAUAGGAUAGCGUGUGACGCAGCAAUGUAUGAAGCUUAGCCUACUAAUAGCCCGAUCGACUUCAUCGU
rnacentral:rRNA from 1 species